GGCCCAGAUUCCCCGGUGGUAACUGUGUGCUUAUGUUUUUCAGAACAAGGAUCUGAAGCAGGAACAGCAAAAAGCACACGUACGUUAAGCGCCCCGAGUGACGCCAGGUGGCUUCAUAAUCACCACUGUGCAUUUUUUAAGCCCCUAACGAGAAAGGUCCGGAAGGCUGUUUCUUGAGGCUCCCGGGACCCCAAGGCAGGGCACACGGGCCGGGCGUGGGCGGGGCGGGCGCAGAGGACAGAGCAGGUGAGCCUAAAUUCUGCGACGCGGGGGCUGGACGGCGAGGAAGGUGGCCUCAGGCGGCAGACGGGUACGUGUCUGGGACUGUGGGGCCUUCUCACGAGGCACAGCUGCCUCACGGGGAAGGUGCUGGCUCUCGGCCGGCGUCUCUCCUGGCCCACGGCUCUGACAGUCCCAGUGCGUGUGGCUCCGCAGCGGGGGAGGGGAGGCAGGUGUCAGAGGGAGAGGAAGAAAGGGGCCAUGUGUGCCCAGGGACCCCUGGCCUGACCUGCCCACCCAGGACGUGGGAGCAGGACAUCCCUGACCAGCUGUCCAGCAGCCGGUGUGGCAGAGGGACGGGGGGUCGGGGGGGCCGGCCAGGGAGCGAGGCAGAGACCCAGGUGCUCUGUCCCUGUGACCUUGCCCCGCCGCGCCCGCACCCUCAUCAGGCAGGCUCAUGCCCCACGCUCUCAGCGCCUCUGGGCCCUGCCACGUCCUCCUCGCCUGGAGGACCAGAGAGGGUCCUGGGCACGUGCUGGCCCGACAGCCCUCUUUGGGGAGGCCACGCGCCUGGCCUGGAAAAGCCGGAACAAGGAGCUGGCUGCAGGUGGCAGGGAGAAGGGACAGAUGUCAGGGUCCAGAAAGGACCUGGAGGAGACCGGAGUGGGCAGAAUUGUCCUUGGGGGGCUUCUGAGUUUUUCUUCCCUCCUGAGUGGUCUGUCCAGGAUGCCGUGUCGUGGGUCAGAAGGAAGCAUGGGGGUGCAGCGUUUGAGGGGUGUGAAGGACGAGUGGCAAGGGGAGGAGCCCCCUAGGUCAGCCCCGCUGUCUGUCUACAGAAACCUGCCAGCUGGUCGGCACCCACCUGGGGCUGGCACGGGGGGAAGGGCUGAUGUCCUCAGCUGCAUCUGGGAGCCCCGAGUGGGGCCCGUGUCUGGGACCUCACCCCUGUCAUCCUAGCUGCAUCCCGGCUGCAGGGGGGGAAGCAGAGGCCUGGAGAGGCAGAGCUUCCCCGGCUCUUUCUCCCCGUGCACAGAUAGCUCAGCCAGUUUGGCUCCAGAAGAAGGAAGAAGGGCCAGCGUAGGACACAGCCGCCCGCAUGUUCUCCCCGUGUCUCCCGGUGCCUGGUGGGGGCCCUUUGAUGGAGGCCAGUGGGGAGAUGUCACAGACAGACAGACCGCAGCCAUUGCCUGCCCUAGGUGAGCCAGAGUCGGGAACCCUCUGACCCGUGCACAGUGUGGUCUUUGCCCACGUGUUCCAAGAUGGCACCAGAAGAGAGAUGGGGGCUCCCAGGUGCAUUUCCGUAGAGAAAAACCCUCUUCCCGGGCCAUCUGCAACUAACGGACAGUCAUUUCCCAAGAAACAGAGACGGUCCUGCGGAUGGAUUUUUUACAGCCAAGGCUCAAGCAGCCCUUUUGUGGAUAAAUGGUUAAGAGCUAGUUUUCCAUAAAUUAGCACAAGAGAAAAACCCAUAAAAUUUGUCAGGAGGCUUAAGAAUUGUGCUAUUUUCAAAGAGUACACAUUGGGGCGUGCUUGGAGCCAUAUGGUAUCUGAGGGCCGGGACGGCGGGCAGCCCACAGCCCCUCCCUCGGCCGGGCGAGCGCCACCUGAGAGGGACUGACGGUCAGUUGUUGACCGCCCAGUCCGGUGUGCCUGGGGUGGCGACCCACUGCUCGCAAUGACAGGGAAAAUUAAAUAACGCGAUAUCACGCCCUGACUGUUAAAUACGUGCCCAGCACUGGUUCGGGCAACAGGUGCGUCUCAUGAACUUUCUGGCUGGACAAACCCCGUGAGGGCGGCAGCAGCUGGGAGUGUCCCCCACAGUCAGGGGACGGACCCAGGCUGGACCGCUGCCGGAGGUCGCCGGAGCCCCGGGCGGAGGUCACUGGAGCCCCGGGCGGCUUCCCACCAUCACCACAUCUGUGCCUCCCUCGAUCGGUGGAGUGAUGCACAGAGAGGGUGCGGACUGGUUGCCUGUUCUGCCCCAGACCAUCAGCCUGACUCCCACAGCAAACCUCUGAGCUUGGGAAUAUCAUCCCCAUGCUGCGUGCGAUCUGAGGAGCUCAGAAAGGCUUCUACAGAGCGUAGCACUCACGGGCACAGAUGCUCAGCAGAGGGACGCAGGACAGAAGAAGGCCACCCAGUGUGUUACUGGGUUCCCAAGGACUGUGACCAGACAACAGGGGUUGCUGUGUCCCCCUCCCCCAGUCCAGGAGGAGGCCUGGAGAGGAAGAGGAGGGGGGAGGGGGGAGGGGGGAGGAGAGU